rnacentral:rRNA from 1 species
ACAGGUGCUGCAUGGCUGUCGUCAGCUCGUGUCGUGAGAUGUUCGGUUAAGUCCGGCAACGAGCGCAACCCACAUCUUUAGUUGCCAGCAGUUCGGCUGGGCACUCUAGAGAAACUGCCCGUGAUAAGCGGGAGGAAGGUGUGGAUGACGUCAAGUCCUCAUGGCCCUUACGGGUUGGGCUACACACGUGCUACAAUGGUAGUGACAAUGGGUUAAUCCCAAAAAGCUAUCUCAGUUCGGAUUGGGGUCUGCAACUCGACCCCAUGAAGUCGGAAUCGCUAGUAAUCGCGUAACAGCAUGACGCGGUGAAUACGUUCCCGGGCCUUGUACACACCGCCCGUCACACCAUGGGAGUUGGGUUUA